rnacentral:misc_RNA from 1 species
GGCCAUUUUGUUCUCUGCAGUAAAAGAGUUGACAGGAGAGAUGCCAGGGGAAAUAAGGGUCCCGAUAAUGCUAUUAGAUCCAUCUCCGUUGGUUUUCUUUUCUGCAAUUUCUCCUUUAUCAAGAGGAGUGCAAAUUCUGUAGCUGAUCGUAUAGCUAAAUUGAGAUUGAAUAAUGCUCUGACUUGUAACUGGCUCCAAUCGGUG